GAGACUCUGUGCGCGUGCAUAUCAAUAAGCGGAGGAAAAGAAACUAACAAGGAUUCCCUUAGUAACGGCGAGUGAAGCGGGAAGAGCUCAAAUUUGAAAUCUUCAAGGUUCUACCUUGACGAAUUGUAGUUUAUAGAAGUGUUUUCUGUUAGUGGAGUGGCAAAAGUUCUUUGGAAUAGGACAUCAUAGAGGGUGAGAAUCCCGUAUUUGGUCAUUCCUCCUAGCGUUGUGAUACACUUUCAACGAGUCGGAUUGUUUGGGAAUGCAGUCCAAAAUGGGUGGUAAAUUUCAUCUAAAGCUAAAUAUUGGCGAGAGACCGAUAGCGAACAAGUACCGUGAGGGAAAGAUGAAAAGAACUUUGAAAAGAGAGUUAAACAGUACGUGAAAUUGUCAAAAGGGAAGCGUUUGACACCAGUGUUGUUUUUCCGAAAAUCAAUUACGAAUGUUUUGUUUUUGAGGAGUUAUGACUUCAUCGGCUUGCUCCUUUCUUUAUGAAACUUUCUUAAUGCACUUUUCGGUUAACAAGUCAACAUCAAUUUCUUUUGUUGUAAAAGGGUAUGAGGAAGGUGGCUUUCUUUUCGGAGAAAGUGUUUAUAGCCUUGUGCCUCUGCAAUCGGAGAGAUUGAGGUCUGCAGCGUAGAUCCUUCGGGGUUAGAUACGUUUGUGCUAAGUUAUAGCUUUUCAUAGACAACUUGUUGACUAUGUUUAGUCUUGUAGCUUACUCGCUGACGCUAUUUUACCUACGCUUAGGAUGUUGACAGCAGUAUAGACUGU
rnacentral:rRNA from 1 species